UCCUGCUGAAGACAAUUCUCUUCCUGUCCCGGGAGGAUUAGGGGCUGAACCCGAGGCCCUGCCCUGCCAUGUGGGGCUCAGCAUCAUGGUGGAAUUCGCCUGCCACCCCCAGGCUAGACGAGGGGGCUGAGGGUCAGGGUGGGCAUUUGUUGUGCCCCUUCUAGACCUUUGUAGGCCAGAGCGGAGUGAGGGGCUGUACAAAGAGCCUCCUUUUCCUUGAAAGGAGGAAUUUGGGUGGAGACAAUGGGGCCCUGUCUGCUCUGGCACGGGGGAGUGAUGGCUGACUCCAUUCCGUGCCCCCUGAGCCCUAACAAAUGUCAUCGAGCCACGGGGGCAGUUUUCCCCCUGGUGCCUUGGGCCACCCCCCGCCUUCUGUGCAGAUCCUCUCGCUGCUUAGCCAGAUGCUGACCUGCUUGGCAUCUCUGCCAGCCUGGCCUCUGCCCACAGUCUGCAUUUUCAGGGUGCUGGUGGUGUUCAGAGCUGGGAGCCCCUGUGGAUGUGUGGAGUCCAGAAUCAGUGUGGCAAGUCUCGGGGAAUCAUGGGGUCCUGGGCCGAGAUGCAGGCUCUCUUGAGGGGACUGUCACUCCUGCUGCUGCUGCUGUCCGGAGAGGUUGCCAUGAAUGGAGCCCUGGAGCACAGCCCGGGCGUCUGCUCCAAGCAGACGCUGGUGGUCCCGCUCCGCUACAACGAGUCCUACAGCCAGCCGGUGUACAAGCCCUACCUGACCCUGUGCCCCGGGAGGCGCCUCUGCAGCACCUACAGGACCACGUACCGCGUGGCCUGGCGGGAGGUGCGGCGGGAGGUGCAGCAGACCCACGCCAUGUGCUGCCAGGGCUGGAGGAAACGGCAUCCGGGGGCGCUCACUUGUGAAGGUGAGGCCAGGUCUGCACCUGGGGGCGCCGGAGGGGGGGGGCCGUGGUGGGUUAGGUCCGGACCGUCUGCAAACCACCCCCUGCAGCCAUCUGCGCUAAGCCCUGCCGGAACGGAGGCGUCUGCGUGGCCCCUGAGCAGUGCGAGUGCGCCCCAGGCUGGGGCGGGAAGCACUGCCACGUGGACUUGGAUGAGUGCAGGGCCGGGGUCUCCCGGUGCUCGCACCGGUGCCUCAACACGGCAGGCAGCUUCACCUGCAGCUGCCCGCGCGGCCAGGUGCUGGGCCCCGAUGGGCUCACGUGCACCGAGGGCCCCCCAGGGCGCCCCACCAGCGCCAGCGUACUCAGCGUGGCAGGUGAGUGUAGGCCAGGCCCGGGAGGCCUCGGGCCCAGCCGGCAGCGCGGGGCAGGGGUCACUUUCUCCGCUGCGCUGUUGCCGUAGUCCGGGAAGCGGAGGAGGGAGCAGAGGAGGAGCGCGGCCUGAGGUGGGAGCUCGGCGAGCUGCGAGGGCGCCUGCAGCGGCUGGAGCAGUGGGCAGCCCAGGCUGGGGCCUGGGUCCGCGCGGUGCUGCCCGUGCCGCCCGAAGAGCUGCAGCCUGAGAAGGUGGCCGAGCUGUGGGGCCGCGGCGACAGGAUCGACUCUCUCAGCGACCAGAUGCUGCUGCUAGAGGAGAGGCUGGGCGCCUGCUCCUGCGAGGACAACAGCCUCCGCCGUCGGUGAGAAGCCUCCAUAGACCCCCCCCGCAGGAAUUUAGGGACCGGCCUGAAUGAUCUGGGAUUGCCCAACUGGCACAGUGGAUACGGCUGUUGGACCAAGGAACCCACCGCACAGCCCCGGGUAGGCUGUCUGGGCCAGGCCUGCUACUUCAGCGUUGGGGCAAACAUAGUGAGAAGACACCCACAUUUCUCUCUUUAUUCUUGCUUGCUUGCUGUUAUCCAGAUAAUUAAUAAAAAUCAACCACGCAAAA